CUCCUACGGGAGGCAGGCAGUGGGGAAUAUUGGACCACAAUGGGGGAAACCCUGAUGCAGCGACGCCGCGUGGAGGAAGAAGGUCUUCGGAUUGUAAACUCCUGUUGUUGGGGAAGAUAAUGACGGUACCCAACAAGGAAGUGACGGCUAACUACGUGC
rnacentral:rRNA from 1 species